CGGCAACAGCUCAAAUUUGAAAUCUGGCCCCCAGGGCCCGAGUUGUAAUUUGCAGAGGAUGCUUUUGGCGCGGUGCCUUCCGAGUUCCCUGGAACGGGACGCCAUAGAGGGUGAGAGCCCCGUCUGGUCGGACACCAAGCCAGUGUAAAGCUCCUUCGAC
rnacentral:rRNA from 1 species